CGUGAAGAUAGAAAUACUUGGGCAAAAGUGCCCUGCCUCCGUGUUGCUCAUCUCAUUGCUCCACAGGAACAGCAAAGAAGGAGUAACGCCUCAUUGCAAGGCAAAGCAAGAGAGAGGCGUCCUUCCCCGCUCCCUCUGUGCUGCCCAAAGGCAACACUGCCCCCCGGUGCCCAUCGCUGCCGGAGGCGGCUGCCAGGGCUGGGACCGGCACUUGCAAAAGUAGCUGGGUUAGCUUCACUGCUUCAACCAAUCGGCUUGAACUCACCCGGCUGAAUUUUUUCUGAAAUCAAUUAGAAAAAGGAACACCUGACCUGCUGGCAAAACAGGGGAUGGGGAGGAACAGUUUGUAGCAGUACUAUCCUCAGGUAUGCACCUCCGCUGAAGUUAUGGUGAAAGAUGGAAUGAGGCACUAUUAGUAGGCUGGACGGCAAGUAUAUCUAUAUCAGCAUGUAGCAGCCAGCAGAAUAGAGGAAGUUGUGUUCCAGUUGGUGUAUGCAGCAGCAUCCUGUGGUGGAGAGAAGUGGUGACCACACUUCUCUCAGCUUUCUGGGCUAGCUGCCUUCAGGGAAGCCUGGGAGAUAGCUGGCAACCUACUGGAAUUGAGGAAAGCUGUUUUUGAAAAAUCUAUGAAAUCUAUUUUUGAGAAACUGCAUUUUAAGAGUUUAUUCAUUCCUACUACUUGUGUCUGGAACUCAGUCCAGUAAGCAUAAGUGACAUCCAAGCAAUGGAGAAAACUUGGUUGUACUCCAAAGAUGUGCAUUUGUUACUAUUUUUUCUUUUUAUAAAGAGCUAAUGUAGCUGA